AUGGUACUCCCUCCGUCCGAAAAUACUUGUCAUCAAAAUGGAAAAAAAGGAUGUAUCUAGAACUAAAAUACAUCUAGAUACAUCCCCUUUUAUUCAUUUUGAUGACAAGUAUUUCCGAACGGAGGGAGUAUUUG
rfam:Triticum aestivum genome assembly, contig: Triticum_aestivum_CS42_TGACv1_scaffold_526933_6DL